CACCCUGUACCGCGCUGAAGUUCGAUUACCUUUUUUUUUAUACACCCUGUACAGGGUGUACCUGUACAGGGUGUACAAAAAAAAGGUAAUCGAAGUUCAGCGCGC